UCUUGGUAGGGUUGAAACAUCAGCUCCCAUACAGUCCCCAAAGUUAAGCAAUGUUGAGCCUGGUCAGUACUUAGAUAGGUAACCGCUAGGGAAUAGCAGGUGCUGUAAG